UACGAAGGGGGCGAGCGUUGUUCGGAAUUACUGGGCGUAAAGCGUGCGCAGGCGGUUCGUUAAGUCAGAUGUGAAAGCCCCGGGCUCAACCUGGGAACUGCAUUUGAAACUGGCGGGCUUGAGUGUGGCAGAGGGGGGUGGAAUUCCGCGUGUAGCAGUGAAAUGCGUAGAGAUGCGGAGGAACACCGAUGGCGAAGGCAGCCCCCUGGGCCAACACUGACGCUCAGGCACGAAAGCGUGGGGAGCAAACAGG
rnacentral:rRNA from 1 species